CAAUGAGGAUGUUUAAUACAUAGAUUCUGAUCAUUUGUUCUAUAUUUAGCUCUGUUCUGGGCAGUGAGGAAUUUAGAUGAACCACAGGGUUUGCCCUGAAGAGGUUUAUAGCUCAGGGAGGAGACAGACAAAGGGACAGUUGUGAUACAAUGUGAUGAGCGCCAUGAUGAAGCAGGUACAAGAUCUACGUGGGUGGGAGUGGAGCAAGGUUGCUAGAGAGCACUACCCUUCAACAGAGUUUUGGACAUGAUGAGUUAUAGUAGANGAUACAAUGUUGAGCGCCAUGAUGAAGCAGGUACAAGAUCUAUGUGGGUGGGAAUGGAGCAAGGUUGCUAGAGAGCACUACACCUGAACAGAGUCUUGGACAUGAUGAGUUAUAGUAGAAAGGGAAGGAAAGAGGGAUGGGAGACGGAGAAGGGCAGAGGGAUCAGCAUGUGGAGUGGCUAGUCAUCAACCACACUGUGUGGGAGAGCUGUGGUCUGAGCUGAGAGGCCAGAGAUGAGCUGGAAGAUCCAAGAGGCUGACUUCAUCUCCACCUGGUCCAGAAAGGGAGACCGAGAGAAGAGGCCUAUAUCCAGAAUCAGAAGAUCCUUUCAGGAUGUGGCUUUUGGGAGGAGGAGAGGCUUCAACGUUGCUACUGCCAGUAUUGUUUCACUUAAAGAACUUCUCCAGUUCCAGAGCUCAGUGAGAGUGUUGGCAAGGCUCGUGAGGGAAAACAGCAGUAAGAGGAGAACCAGAGAGAAGCAGGGCUCGCAGCAAGUGCACGUGCUGCAUCUGUGGCACUUAUAAACGUUCCUCCAAAAACUGCUCAUAGAAGAUUUCGAAGAGAGACCGGGUGAACUUCAUCCUGAGAAUGUUUCCAGUAAUGAGAGAAAACAACAACAACAACAAAAAAAAAACAAAUAAAGGCUAUGUUAUGGGAGACCUGAUGGUGGUG
rnacentral:lncRNA from 1 species